UAAACAAAUUAUUGAAAAACUUUUUGUUAUUUAAAAGGUUUAAGAUGUGUCCUGGACCUUGGACAGUUAAUAUGAGUAGAGAAAAAGUGAAAUCAUCACCUGUUCGUCAAACAACUAGAAGUGCAUUCAUGAUGGAUUCAAAUAAUAACGAGUCGGAAACGUUUUUAAGUGAUAUUACUGACCUUCUCUAUAUAUUGAAGGCGACAGGGCUCUUGCCCUUCUAUCGAACUAUAUCCAACUAUGAACUGGGACCUCCAUCUGUAUUAUCACGUAUCUACACUAUUACUGCUCAUAUUCUGAUUCAUUCAAUGACGAUUUACAAUGUGUACAACCUAUUUACGGAUGGUUCCACACAACUAUUUUAUUCGUAUCGUGAAACGGACAACAUAAACUAUUGGAUUGAAAUUCUUUUGUGCAUUGUUACGUAUACUACGACUGUAUUUUUAUGUUUCAGAAACGGAAAAUCAUAUUUGAACAUUUUAAAUGACACUCUCAAAGUGGAUGAGGAAAUAAGUCGAAAAUUUUCGAUUAAUAUGGUUAAUAAUUGCGGAUUUGCCAUCAAGUACAUUAUAAUAAUAGUGAUUUUCCAAGUAUACAUAAUAAUUUUAAAAAUAUUGUCAAUCAAGGAACCAUUAAAUGUGGCCUCAUACAUUCUCAUUUCAUUUUAUUCAUUUCAAAAUGGUUUGUCGUCAAUAUUCAUCGUGUACGCUUCGGUUCUCUUGCGUAUUAUAACAGUACGUUUCGAAUUUUUAAACAAAAUAAUAACUGGUUACACGUACCGUGAGCAAAAGGCAAAAGUAAGACAACGAAUUACACGUGUAAAUAAUGGCGACAUUUUCUCACAACCACGAUCCAUGGAAAACUUUCCAGAUGAGUCACUAUUUGCUUUUCGUAUGUACAAUAAAUUAUUGCGUCUCUACAAGGCUGUCAAUGAAUGUUGCAGUCUAACACUGGUCGUCUAUAUGGGUUACGCAUUUUAUUCGAUUACCACAACUACAUAUAAUUUAUUUGUUCAGAUUACAACACAAAUGGACAGUGCAAUGGAAAUGUCUGUGAAUGUGCUGCAAAUCUGUUUUGUAUUACUGUUCACUAAUACUAUUAUGUUGGCCGUGUUAUCACGAUGCGCUGGACAAGCUACAGAUCAGGCAAAUGAAACAUCGGAGAUACUAGCCCGAGUGUAUGGUAAAAGCAAGGAGUAUCAAAAUAUCGUUGAUAAAUUUUUAACAAAAAGCAUUAAACAAGAAGUACAAUUCACUGCUUAUGGUUUUUUUGUUAUCGACAAUUCGACACUUUUUAAGGAAUAGUAUUUGCUAAAGAUUAAGCGAAUGUAAAAAUGUAAGAUCAUAUUUCGCGUAGGCGAACGCGAGCAUUCGUUAUUUACAUUCCUAAUAUGUAAUAAAAUUUUUAAAAUCGCAUCAGGAACAGAAUAAGAGAUAUUUUCGGCUGUUACAACAUAUCUGGUUAUUUUAAUACAAUUUAAACAAUUGGAAGAAUCAAAAACGGUGGAUGCAUCUUCACAAAAAUCAAAUUAAAUAUUUAACAAGACAAAUGAAUAUUUUUU
rnacentral:misc_RNA from 1 species